rnacentral:rRNA from 1 species
UGAGGUUAAGCGACUAAGCGUACACGGUGGAUGCCUAGGCAGUCAGAGGCGAUGAAGGGCGUGCUAAUCUGCGAUAAGCGUCGGUAAGCUGAUAUGAAGCGUUAUACCCGACGAUACCCGAAUGGGGAAACCCAGUGUGUUUCGACACACUAUCAUUAACUGAAUACAUAGGUUAAUGAGGCGAACCGGGGGAACUGAAACAUCUCAGUACCCCGAGGAAAAGAAAUCAACCGAGAUUCCCCUAGUAGCGGCGAGCGAACGGGGAGGAGCCCAGAACCUGAAUCAGUUUGUGUGUUAGUGGAAGCGUCUGGAAAGUCGCACAGUAAAGGGUGAUAGUCCCGUACACAAAAAUGCACAAGUUGUGAGUUCGAUGAGUAGGGCGGGACACGUGACAUCCUGUCUGAAUAUGGGGGGACCAUCCUCCAAGGCUAAAUACUCCUGACUGACCGAUAGUGAACCAGUACCGUGAGGGAAAGGCGAAAAGAACCCCGGCGAGGGGAGUGAAAUAGAACCUGAAACCGUGUACGUACAAGCAGUGGGAGCCUACUUGUUAGGUGACUGCGUACCUUUUGUAUAAUGGGUCAGCGACUUAUAUUCUGUAGCAAGGUUAACCGUAUAGGGGAGCCGCAGGGAAACCGAGUCUUAACUGGGCGUUAAGUUGCAGGGUAUAGACCCGAAACCCGGUGAUCUAGCCAUGGGCAGGUUGAAGGUUGGGUAACACUAACUGGAGGACCGAACCGACUAAUGUUGAAAAAUUAGCGGAUGACUUGUGGCUGGGGGUGAAAGGCCAAUCAAACCGGGAGAUAGCUGGUUCUCCCCGAAAGCUAUUUAGGUAGCGCCUCGUGAAUUCAUCUUCGGGGGUAGAGCACUGUUUCGGCUAGGGGGUCAUCCCGACUUACCAACCCGAUGCAAACUACGAAUACCGAAGAAUGUUAUCACGGGAGACACACGGCGGGUGCUAACGUUCGUCGUGAAGAGGGAAACAACCCAGACCGCCAGCUAAGGUCCCAAAGUCAUGGUUAAGUGGGAAACGAUGUGGGAAGGCACAGACAGCCAGGAUGUUGGCUUAGAAGCAGCCAUCAUUUAAAGAAAGCGUAAUAGCUCACUGGUCGAGUCGGCCUGCGCGGAAGAUGUAACGGGGCUAAACCAUGCACCGAAGCUGCGGCAGCGACACUUAGGUGUUGUUGGGUAGGGGAGCGUUCUGUAAGCCGUCGAAGGUGGCCUGUGAGGGCUGCUGGAGGUAUCAGAAGUGCGAAUGCUGACAUAAGUAACGAUAAUGCGGGUGAAAAACCCGCACGCCGGAAGACCAAGGGUUCCUGUCCAACGUUAAUCGGGGCAGGGUGAGUCGACCCCUAAGGCGAGGCUGAAAAGCGUAGUCGAUGGGAAACAGGUUAAUAUUCCUGUACUCGGUGUUACUGCGAAGGGGGGACGGAGAAAGCUAGGUUAUCCGGGCGACGGUUGUCCCGGUUUAAGCGUGAAGGUGGAUGACUUUGGUAAAUCCGGGUCGUCAUUAACACUGAGGCGUGAUGACGAGUCACUACGGUGAUGAAGUAACCAAUGCUACGCUUCCAGGAAAAGCCUCUAAGCUCCAGGUAACAUCAAAUCGUACCCCAAACCGACACAGGUGGUCAGGUAGAGAAUACUCAGGCGCUUGAGAGAACUCGGGUGAAGGAACUAGGCAAAAUGGUGCCGUAACUUCGGGAGAAGGCACGCUGAUGGUAGGUGAAGUGACUUGCUCAUGGAGCUGAAAUCAGUCGAAGAUACCAGCUGGCUGCAACUGUUUAAUAAAAACACAGCACUGUGCAAACACGAAAGUGGACGUAUACGGUGUGACGCCUGCCCGGUGCCGGAAGGUUAAUUGAUGGGGUCAGCCGCAAGGCGAAGCUCUUGAUCGAAGCCCCGGUAAACGGCGGCCGUAACUAUAACGGUCCUAAGGUAGCGAAAUUCCUUGUCGGGUAAGUUCCGACCUGCACGAAUGGCGUAAUGAUGGCCAGGCUGUCUCCACCCGAGACUCAGUGAAAUUGAACUCGCUGUGAAGAUGCAGUGUACCCGCGGCAAGACGGAAAGACCCCGUGAACCUUUACUAUAGCUUGACACUGAACCUUGAGCCUUGAUGUGUAGGAUAGGUGGGAGGCUUUGAAGCGUGGACGCCAGUCUGCGUGGAGCCAACCUUGAAAUACCACCCUUUAAUGUUUGAUGUUCUAACGUGGACCCGUAAUCCGGGUUGCGGACAGUGUCUGGUGGGUAGUUUGACUGGGGCGGUCUCCUCCCAAAGCGUAACGGAGGAGCACGAAGGUUAGCUAAUCCUGGUCGGACAUCAGGAGGUUAGUGCAAAGGCAUAAGCUAGCUUGACUGCGAGAGUGACAGCUCGAGCAGGUGCGAAAGCAGGUCUUAGUGAUCCGGUGGUUCUGAAUGGAAGGGCCAUCGCUCAACGGAUAAAAGGUACUCCGGGGAUAACAGGCUGAUACCGCCCAAGAGUUCAUAUCGACGGCGGUGUUUGGCACCUCGAUGUCGGCUCAUCACAUCCUGGGGCUGAAGUAGGUCCCAAGGGUAUGGCUGUUCGCCAUUUAAAGUGGUACGCGAGCUGGGUUUAGAACGUCGUGAGACAGUUCGGUCCCUAUCUGCCGUGGGCGUUGGAAGAUUGAGAGGGGUUGCUCCUAGUACGAGAGGACCGGAGUGAACGCACCACUGGUGUACGGGUUGUGAUGCCAAUUGCAUUGCCCGGUAGCUAAGUGCGGAAGAGAUAACCGCUGAAAGCAUCUAAGCGGGAAACUUGCCUCGAGAUGAGUCUUCCCUGGGUACUUGAUACCCCUGAAGGGCCGUUGAAGACGACGACGUAGAUAGGCUGGGUGUGUAAGCGUAGCGAUACGUUGAGCUAACCAGUACUAAUGACCCGAGAGGCUUAACCUU